GACGAACGCUGGCGGCGUGCUUAACACAUGCAAGUCGGACGGAAAGGCCCUGCUUUUGUGGGGUGCUCGAGUGGCGAACGGGUGAGUAACACGUGAGUAACCUGCCCUUGACUUUGGGAUAACUUCAGGAAACUGGGGCUAAUACCGGAUAGGAGCUCCUGCUGCAUGGUGGGGGUUGGAAAGUUUCGGCGGUUGGGGAUGGACUCGCGGCUUAUCAGCUUGUUGGUGGGGUAGUGGCUUACCAAGGCUUUGACGGGUAGCCGGCCUGAGAGGGUGACCGGCCACAAUGGGACUGAGAUACGGCCCAGACUCCUACGGGAGGCAGCAGGGGGGAAUAUUGCACAAUGGGCGGAAGCCUGAUGCAGCAACGCCGCGUGCGGGAUGACGGCCUUCGGGUUGUAAACCGCUUUCGCCUGUGACGAAGCGUGAGUGACGGUAAUGGGUAAAGAAGCACCGGCUAACUACGUG
rnacentral:rRNA from 1 species